AUGCAACCAUGUCUUAAGGGUCAUGGAUAUACUUCAUCUGGAGAAGAUCCCUGCAAUGCAUAUACUCAAGUACUCAAGCGGUGGACCAAGGACGCGAGGGACAUACUUCCCCAACACCUGGUUCAGUAUCAGAAGGACAAUUCAGUUAACUUGUCGUUCACAUGCAGGAACUCGAUGCUCUAUCUGAAAGCCAUGGAAGUCGUGCGGAUAGGCGAUUCGAAUGCAGAAUCAUUCGAGCACAUGUUUGCUGGUCUGGAAGCUUUGUUGGUGAGUGGCACACCUUUAGCUGAGAAGAGGGAUGCUUGGGGUUUGAGCAUCGGAUAG
rnacentral:rRNA from 1 species